GCGAAGCCCUUCGUCGGCGCGUCAAGCCCAGCCCAACAAGGUAACCACCUCUCGGAUUUCUGCCAUGGAAGAGCAGUUACCUGCAGUUGCAGUCAACCCUAAAAAAAAAAUGCAGUUGCAGUCGGUCGUUUGCCACGGAGAAGACGGGGAUGCACUCGGUCGGAGAUGCCGGCAUUCGCGAGUGCGGAUCCUCGGGCUGGGCAUCUGCGCGGACGUCAUCGUCGGCAAAGAGCUGAGCAGAGCUGCUGCGCGGCAUCUCCGGCGGCCAGAAGAAGCGCCUGCGCCUCGCCACAGGGGAGGGAGAUGCUGGUCGGCCCGACCAAGUUGUUGCUCGUAGACGAGAUCUCCACGGGCCUCGACAGCUCCGCAACCUUCCGGAUCCUCAAGUGCAUCCAGCAGAUCCUCCACCUGGUCGAGGCCACCGCCGUGGCAUCCGAGGGGCAGGUCGUGUACAGGCAACCAAAUCCUCGUUGAAUUGGAUUUUUCCAUUCGAGUGCUCUAGUUCCCCACUUCUUCUUGGAGAGGUGUGGGUUCUGGUGCCCGGAGGGGAGUGGCGGAAAGGUGCGCCUGAUUUCCUGGAGAGAAGGUCGUUUUAUGAAGCUCAAAUUCCUAGUAGUUGAAUUGAAUUUUAGAGAGAGCGUGCAGCAGGAGUGUACUCAGUUGUACUUGUACCCUCGCAUCGCAGCCAGGUCAGGCAAUUCAACAGAACGUUUUUUUCGAAAGACCCAAUUCGCAGAUCAUCGCAAAGUUUACAAUGAGAAUAGUUAGGUUGCAUGAGUCAUCUAUCACCACAGGUCUGGUAUCUAUCAGAUGCCGAAGCAAGAAACAACAACAACGCAGAGUCGCAGAUACUCGGCAGAACCAGCAGGCACGAACACUGUCUACAUUCUCUCAAUUUGAGAAGUCUAGAAAACUGUAAGAAGCCCGUCUAGCUCAGUCGGUAGAGCGCAAGGCUCUUAACCUUGUGGUCGUGGGUUCGAGCCCCACGGUGGGCGGUUUUCCUUUUGUUUUUGUAACGUUUUCUUUGUACAGGGCUGUACAUCUUCUUUUACAGAAGAAAAUGGAAAUAACAGUGUCAACCCCAAA